UUGAUUUAAUUUGAUUUAAUUUGAUUUCAUUUAAUUUGAUUUAAUUUGAUUUCAUUUAAUUUGAUUUAAUUUGAUCUAUCUUUAUCAAGUUUUUUUUUAUUUAUUUUUUUUUUUUUCUUCGCGUUUUUAUAAAAUGCAAAAAAAAAUAAAAUGAUAUAAAAUGACGUAUAUAAUACAAAAAAAAAUAAUAAAGUAAUAAAAAAUAAAAAAAAUAUGGAUAAUAAGAAAACACAAGAUGAUCAAGUUUUAUUUUUUGACAUAGGUACCAGUGUAAAUCAUCUCACAGGAAAUGAAAUUUAUUUUUAUUCUAAUAAUGAUGCUAAGCAAUUUAAAAAAAAUAACGCAUAUAAGUCGCAUAAAAAUGACAUAUGUUCUAACGAUGACGAAACGUUGCAUACACUAAAUGAAAAAAAAGAUAAUUACAAAUUGCAAGAUCAGGACAACCAUAAUAACAAAAAUAAUGAAGUAAAACAAAAAUGCUGCAGAUUGGAUAAAAACAUAUCCAAUGGUAUAGAUUAUUAUCUUAGUUCAGAACAAAAAAAUGAAGAACGUAUUUAUGAAGAAAGAGAAAAAAUUGUAUUCGAGCAAGAAUUUGAUAAGGUUAAAGAUAUUUAUAAUGUUGAAGAAAUAAUGAAAAUUAUCAAUAAUUUGAAUUCUAUUAGAAAUGAGAUAGAAACAGCUAUAUAUAAAAAAUUAGAAAAAAAAUAUAAAACUAUUAUUACUAAUACAAUUAAAGUAAAAGAAAUAGAAAAUUACCUUACCAAUAUUAAAAAACUAUUAACAAACAAUAUAAAUGAAUUAAAAGUAUUACAAAAAAAAAAAUAUAAAGAAAGUUUAAAUAUUGUAGAUUUAGUUUCUCAAAAAAAAAAUUAUCAAAAAAUUAAUUUAAUUAUUUUAAUUAUAUAUAUCGCAUAUAUUUACGAUAAGUUAAUUUUUAAAAAUAUACUAAAAAAAAAUUAUGAAUACGCAGCUCUAGUAUAUUAUGAAUUAUCUAGUUACAUAAAUAAUAACCAUGAGCUCUUAAAAAAUAUUAAAUGUAUAAAUAAAUUUAAAGAAAAAAUGCACUCAG
rnacentral:lncRNA from 1 species